CGACCCCAGGUCAGGGGGGGCUACCCG
rnacentral:rRNA from 1 species